UCCGUAGGGUGCAAGCGUUAAUCGGAAUUACUGGGCGUAAAGCGUGCGCAGGCGGUUAUGUAAGGCAGAUGUGAAAUCCCCGGGCUCAACCUGGGAACUGCAUUUGUGACUGCAUCGCUGGAGUGCGGCAGAGGGGGAUGGAAUUCCGCGUGUAGCAGUGAAAUGCGUAGAUAUGCGGAGGAACACCGAUGGCGAAGGCAAUCCCCUGGGCCUGCACUGACGCUCAUGCACGAAAGCGUGGGGAGCAAACAGG
rnacentral:rRNA from 1 species